GGCCCUCUGGCGCAAUGGUAGCGCGUUCGACUCCAGUUUUCACAAAAACUAGUUGUAAAUCGAAAGGUUAUCCGUUCAAAUCGGGUGGGGGUCA